GUACUCAUGCAAAGAGUAAUGAUUGAUGCAGCUUCUACAGAAGAUCUCGAAUACCUGAUGCAUGCAAAACAGCAGCUAGUAACCACAGCUAAACGUUGGGAUUCUUCCUCUAAGACUAUUAUAGAUUUUGAACCUAAUGAAACUACUGAUUUGGAGAAGAGCCUUCUUAUCAGAUACCAAAUUCCCCUCUCUGCUGACCAGCUAUUUACCCAGUCCGUUUUAGACAAAUCAUUGACCAAGAGCAACUAUCAGUCACGGUUACAUGACCUUCUUUAUAUUGAGGAGAUAGCCCAGUAUAAAGAAAUCAGCAAAGAUGGGGUUUUGCCACGUUGCCCAGGGAAGAUCUGGAACUCCUGGGCUCAAGUGAUCCACCCGCUCUGGCCUCCCAAGGUGCUGGGAUUACAGGCAUGAGCCACCACCCCUGGCCCAGUUUGUGUGAUCUAUCUGGAGAGCUGUUUGGCAGUUUGUAUCAAGGACCUUAAGUUUGAAUCUUUUGGUGUGGAAAUUCCACUUAUGGGGGAUCAUAAGCAAUAAUCAGAGUCAAAGAUGUCUGGACACAUGUCUUGCAAAGAGUAGUGAAGAAAAAGUUAAUUAUGAUAUAGCUAUAUGAUUGAAUGUUAUACAACUUGAAAUUAUGUUCUUGAAGAAUUUUUAAUGCAG
rnacentral:sRNA from 1 species